rnacentral:rRNA from 1 species
GAUGAACGCUGGCGGCGUGCCUAAUACAUGCAAGUCGAGCGAACAGACGAGGAGCUUGCUCCUUUGACGUUAGCGGCGGACGGGUGAGUAACACGUAGGUAACCUACCUAUAAGACUGGGAUAACUUCGGGAAACCGGAGCUAAUACCGGAUAAGAUUUCGAACCGCAUGGUUCGAUAGUGAAAGAUGGCUUUGCUAUCACUUAUAGAUGGACCUGCGCCGUAUUAGCUAGUUGGUAAGGUAACGGCUUACCAAGGCAACGAUACGUAGCCGACCUGAGAGGGUGAUCGGCCACACUGGAACUGAGACACGGUCCAGACUCCUACGGGAGGCAGCAGUAGGGAAUCUUCCGCAAUGGGCGAAAGCCUGACGGAGCAACGCCGCGUGAGUGAUGAAGGUCUUCGGAUCGUAAAACUCUGUUAUUAGGGAAGAACAAACGUGUAAGUAACUGUGCACGUCUUGACGGUACCUAAUCAGAAAGCCACGGCUAACUACGUG